GGAUAGCUCAGUUGGUUAGAGUUUGGUGCUGGAAAUGUCAAGGUUGCAGGUUCAAUCCCCGUAAGGGACA